UACGGAGGGUGCGAGCGUUGUCCGGAAUCAUUGGGCGUAAAGGGCGCGUAGGUGGCGGGACAAGCGUGCGGUGAAAGCUCGGGGCUCAACCCCGAGUCGGCCGUGCGAACUGUUUUGCUGGAGCACUGUAGAGGCAGGCGGAAUUCCGGUGUAGCGGUGAAAUGCGUAGAUAUCGGAAGGAACACCUGUGGCGAAAGCGGCUCACUGGACCAUUACUGACGCUGAUGCACGAAAGCUAGGGGAGCAAACAGG
rnacentral:rRNA from 1 species